CUGAGCAGGAGACACUGUUGAAGCGGAUUUUGUAACUCCUGGCAAAAGAAGACCAAGACAGGGCCGUCACAGGGAGCUGGAGGCUCGGUGCGGGCCCAGACACAGCCAGGGGACAGCUUCAGGGUGUCUACAUCUGGGAGCGGGCGAAACUAAGGUGACAGAAGUCAUAAGGGUGCUGGCCUUCGGUAGGGAUGGCCUGGGAAGGGGCUGGCCGGAGGCAUUGACGAAGGGGACUGCCCAGGUGAUGGAAAUGUGCUGGGUCUUCGUCGGCUCGUGGGUCACACGGGUGCAAACACUACUCUUAUACUAAAAGGGUAAGUGAUUCUAUCUUCCUUUGCAAGGCAGAUGAGAACGGGGGCCGGCAUGGGCCGCACGGCAGGGGGAAGGCUUGCAUCGGAAUUCUGCUUUAGGGUACUUGAGGAGGUACUUCGUGCUAAGAAGGCAUUUAUCGCCUAGACGCUGAAACAUGAGAGCCCUAGAAAUGAGUGCAGUUGGGGCCGCCAGGGACGGAGAAGCUGCAAAGAUAAUGGUUAAUAAUAAAGUGUUCUGUGGCGGUGCUCUAGUUUGCUUCUUUAAGGAUUUGUUCAGAAAGCGAAGUUGCUUGAUCUCUGUUGACAUCUCUUUUUCUUUCGUCAAGGAAAGAAGAAAAGGAAAAGCCGACAUUGUGUAGCGGGCGGAGUAUCGCUGUUUUUCUAAUUUGUCCAUGCUUGAGAGCAGUCUAACCUCGUCGGUCAACCCAGAAGUGCCUUCCAUGUGUUAAAUGCUUGUACUGAUCAUGGAAAUGACUUGGGGACACACUGAAGCAGGUCCCCACACCUCUGGGCUUAGCCCUACCCGGGGAUCGAAAGCCUUCCGGAAGAGUCUCCCCAGCUGCUGUGCAUAGCUCUGGGCCCGGCCGGUCUCGGAGCCAUACAGGAUUGUUGCCUUUACUCGCUUUGCCAUC